rnacentral:rRNA from 1 species
GACGAACGCUGGCGGCGUGCCUAAUACAUGCAAGUAGAACGCUGAAGGAGGAGCUUGCUUCUCUGGAUGAGUUGCGAACGGGUGAGUAACGCGUAGGUAACCUGCCUGGUAGCGGGGGAUAACUUUUGGAAACGAUAGCUAAUACCGCAUAACAGUAGAUAUCGCAUGAUAUCUACUUGAAAGGUGCAAUUGCAUCACUACCACAUGGACCUGCGUUGUAUUAGCUAGUUGGUGAGGUAACGGCUCACCAAGGCGACGAUACAUAGCCGACCUGAGAGGGGGAUCGGCCACACUGGGACUGAGACACGGCCCAGACUCCUACGGGAGGCAGCAGUAGGGAAUCUUCGGCAAUGGACGGAAGUCUGACCGAGCAACGCCGCGUGAGUGAAGAAGGUUUUCGGAUCGUAAAGCUCUGUUGUAAGAGAAGAACGAGUGUGAGAGUGGAAAGUUCACACUGUGACGGUAUCUUACCAGAAAGGGACGGCUAACUACGUG